GCAAGCAAUCAAAAUGCUUUUACCAGCUUCGAAGGUUAAUUGUUUUUCGCUUUUGUUGGAAUAGUUGAUAUUUAUGGUCCAGAAACAGUAAUUUACGCUUCGUUAAAUUUAUGUGAUCGUUACUAACGGUAAAUAUAGGUGCUUGAAAUUUUGGAAACGAGCUUCUUUCAGCUGUAUAACCUGCGGUAGGGUGCCAGACUAAGAGACGCAAAAUGGGAAAAAUUCAAGUAAUCCGACUUACUGUUAUUUUUGUUAUAUUGCUGCAAGCAGGCCGCAGUAGUGCCAUUGAUCCUCCAGAUAUUUUAUCCUUGCGCUACUUUACGGCAACAGACUGUGUCCAAAAUUGUGCUUACUUAUGUAAAUCGGAUAAUUGCCUCAUUGGAGGAUGCAUAGGGCAGGUUUGUUAUUGUGGUAACUGUAUGCCUACAUGAAGUACUACAUAAUAUGAUUUGGAUACAAUAAAUAAAAAAACAUGUGUAGAUCGACUAUUAAACACUAACUUUAAUCUAA